AACAGGAUUAGAUACCCUGCUAGUCCACACUGUAAUCGAUGGGUACUAGGUGUUGGUUGUAAUGAUCAGCGCCGGAGCAAACGCAUUAAGUACCCCGCAUGGGGAAUACGGUCGCAUAGACUGAAACUCAAAGGAACUUGACGGGGGCCCGUCUACAAACGGUGGAGCAUCUGGUUUAAUUCGAUGCAACGCGAAGAACCUUACCUGGGCUUGAACUGCAGGUGCUAUCUCCUGAAAGGGAGUUUCCUUCGGGACGCCUGUAGAGGUGCUGCAUGGCUGUCGUCAGCUCCUGCUGUGAGUUGUUGGCUUAAGUCCCGCUACGAGCGCAACCCCUGUCCUUAGUUGCCAUCAGGUCAAGCUGGGAACUCUAGGGGCACUGCCCCAGGAUAACGGGGAGGAAGUUGGGGAUGACGUCAAGUCAUCAUGGCCCUUACGUCCAGGGCUACACACGUGCUACAAUGGCACGGUACAACGGCUAGCGAGACAGCGAUGUGGAGCAAAUCCCUUUAAACCGGUCUCAGUUCAGAUUGCAGUCUGCAACCUGAUUGCACGAAGUUGGAAUCGAUAGUAAUUCGGCGGAUCAGCAUGCCUCGCUGCCUACGUUCCCGGGCCUGGACACACCGCCCGUC
rnacentral:rRNA from 1 species